GACGAACGCUGGCGGCGUGCUUAACACAUGCAAGUCGAACGGCAAGGCCCUGCUUUUGUGGGGUGCCCGAGUGGCGAACGGGUGCGUAACACGUGAGUAACCUGCCCUUGACUUUCGGAUAACUUCAGGAAACUGGGGCUACUACCGGAUAGGAGCUCCUGCUGCAUGGUGGGGGUUGGAAAGUUUCGGCGGUUGGGGAUGGACUCGCGGCUUAUCAGCUUGUUGGUGGGGUAGUGGCUUACCAAGUCUUUGACGGGUAGCCGGCCUGAGAGGGUGAACGGCGACAAGGGUACUAAGAUACGGCGCAGACGCCAACAUGGGGCAGCAGUGGGAAGUAUUGCACAAUGAGCGGGAGCCUGUGACGGCAACGCCGCGUGCGGGAUGACGGCCUUCGGGUUAUGAACCGCUUUCGCCUAUGACGACGCGUUAGUGACGGUAAUGGGUAAAGAAGCACCGGCUAACUACGUG
rnacentral:rRNA from 1 species